rnacentral:rRNA from 1 species
CCUACGGGAGGCAGCAGUGAGGAAUAUUGGUCAAUGGGCGCAAGCCUGAACCAGCCAUCCCGCGUGCAGGAAGACGGCCCUAUGGGUUGUAAACUGCUUUUCCAGGGGGUGAAUAGUUCCGACGUGUCGGGAUAUGACGGUACCCUGGGAAUAAGCAUCGGCUAAUUCCGUGCCAGCAGCCGCGGUAAUACGGAAGGGGCUAGCGUUGUUCGGAAUUACUGGGCGUAAAGCGCGCGUAGGCGGCCGCUCAAGUGAGGCGUGAAAGGCCCGGGCUCAACCUGGGAACGGCGCUUCAGACUGGUCGGCUUGAGUCCGGAAGAGGAUGGUGGAAUUCCCAGUGUAGAGGUGAAAUUCGUAGAUAUUGGGAAGAACACCGGUGGCGAAGGCGGCCAUCUGGUCCGGUACUGACGCUAAAGCGCGAAAGCGUGGGGAGCAAACAGGAUUAGAUACCCUGGUAGUCCACGCUGUAAACGAUGAGUGCUAGAUGUCGGGGGGCUUGCCCUUCGGUGUCGUAGCUAACGCGUUAAGCACUCCGCCUGGGGAGUACGGCCGCAAGGUUAAAACUCAAAGGAAUUGACGG